UGUUAGGAUAUGACCCAUCAAUCCCCCACCUUUGGUAGGAUAUUCACAAGGCUGACAGGGGAAGAACAUCAUAGAUGGCAGGGUUACUAAGCACACCUGAGUUACACCCAGGCAAAACAGGUAAACUCCUUCACUUGCUGACAGAAGGCUGUUGCUGAGCAAGUUAAUGCUGCUUAGAUUGUUAAUGUUUCUUAAAUCAGCAUCAUCUUUUCUGAUCAAAUUCAGAAACUAUAAAUCAGAGCAGAAUUCUCUGUGAGAUGGACAUUUUUAUUCAUAGAACUGCAGUGAAAGAAACUCCAAGUCUGUGUCGCUUUCUGUGUGUCACUCUGGUGCCAACAUGUCACAAAGCUAAUAGAAUGCCUUGUCACCUCAGACAGCAGGUAUCACUCCUGACUUACCAAGACAAAUAUCUUCCCAUUUAUGGUGCUAAGAACAGCAUACAGCACUGGUAUCCUCCAGACAAGCCAGGAGUGAAACACAGUGAAUUUUCAACAUUUUAACUCAAUGGUUUGUUUAGGACCCAGACCUAGGCUAGAUCUUCCCACAAUUUCCACAACGCUGUAGGUAACAUCAGGCAUUCCAGACUCAAAUUCAGAUGAAGCAGCCAGCAACAGGACUAAUGCAACACAGUCUGAUGAAAAACAAAUGUCUACAAAGAAAGAAGCAUUAGCCUUCUAACAAGGAUAUCCAGCAAUUAAAAAUGACCUGGAACAGGAAGCCUUUCCGCCAUGCAGGUGGUGUAAGGACUGCAGAGAAGGAAAAACAUGUUCCUCUCAGUGUCACACAUUUCUAUCAAAUUUCCAGCCAAUGCAAACUAAGACUUGCAAAAUCCUGGAUGUUGGUGAACACUCUCCAUGGACAUUAGUGAACACUAAAAUACACAUAAUCUGGUUUUGAACA